GUAUUGAGAAAAAAAGAGAGGAGGCGAGAUGAGAGCACUGAAGUGUCUGUCAGGGGACACGUCGCAGCUUCAGGACCGCGGACUGAUGAUGCGCGCUUUUGGACGCGGUUGAUGAAAAGCGUGUCGCUCCUCUGUCGGUCCCACGGAGAUCACGGCACUGACCCGGGAACGUCCUGAUCUCGGAUACAAGCACACGGCACGACGAGGAUGUCUCAUCCACAGCCGUCUGCGCAGGCUCGGCAGAUGGCGUGGGAUUUAUCGAUCUGAUCCACGCGCUCACCUGUUUGUCGAAGCGAGGCUGUACAGAAACUCAUUUCCAUGUUCUAAACAUCUGGAGCCCGGAUGAUGCGACGCUGGCCGCCCCUCUUUGCCACAUGUGGAUGUUUUGGUCUCCACGAACGCAGGAGGCAUCUCAAGAAAAAGCCUCGGACUUACCUUUUGCUGUUGUCGCUAAUGACGGAGCCUGUUCCUGUCUUUGGUUAUCUAGCUGUAUGAGUGAUAAUCAUGCAUCAUAAAGCUAGAUAACCGAAAGUAGGAAUGACCUCCAAAUCCUCAGCCUCUUGUUUAUGAGAUUAAGAAAAAAAGAAGAAGAAAAGAAAGAAAACUCCAAAAGGAGGACAUGUUGUCUUUUCAGAUGAGGACCAAAAUGGUACCAGAGUCAUCAAGCUGUGGAGGAUCAGGGGUCACUGUGAGGAAUCCCGUCUCCGCUACUGGACUCAAAGUUUUCUAUCCCCACAUGCCAGCAGAGCUGUGCAAACAGAUCUCACUUCAAGCAGAUUACAAAUCAAAUUGCUCUGCGAACAAAACAAAAAUGUUCUCACACUCUGUGCAGAAGAUUCAUGCUUUUUCUUAUUUUAGAAAAUAAGCUAAAAUGUGUAUAAUUUUUUAUUUUCUUGUUUAUUUAUUUAAAUGUAAAUUUGUCCCUGAAAGUUAUUACUACAAUCAUAUUGUAUUCAGGUCUUUGUAUUUCGUCAUUUUAAUGACUUACUCAUAAAUUAACCCAAUAAACGUGUAAUGUAAAAUUUCUGUACGUCGACAGUGUAUUAAUGCAUCUUUUUGGAGUAACCCUUUUAAACUGUAUCUCAGCAAAGUGACUGAAACCUAUUUAUUUAAUAAAAAUGUAAUUUAAAAAAACAGAAAUGAGAUGGCUCUGUCAUUAUUAUUAAAAUCUGACCCAAACUGAGCCAAAAUCUUCACAAAGGCCGUUUCGGUCAGCACCUUGGACAGAGGCAGACUGCAACGAGCGCUCCACGCUUGGAGGGUGAAGAAUGAAAGACGAUUAUUUAUUUUAUUUUUAGUUUAGUUUAGUUUAGUUUUUUUAAAAACAGGUGAAUUAUGACAAAUUUGAAACAAAGAUGGCAUGAUAUAUACUCUACGACAAGCUUAAAAUUAGCUUCCUGCCCCUGCUGUUGAUUCGAUCGUAAAGUAAAACAGGUCAAAUAAAUGUAAUUCGAUCCAGCUGUUGAUGACAACGUAAGGCAGACUUCAGCAUGUUGCCAUUCUUCUAGUUGCUUCUUUUCUGGAGAUCAACCCGACCCCAGUUCCCGAGAACUUGUCUGCUGCUGGAAAGCGGGUCGUGACCCUUUACUCUCCUGGGACACAACUUGACCCGACACAACCCGUCGGACACGUGCGCCGUCCUCGAUCCACGACACGACUUCAUGGUUGGUGAAGUUUGCGUCAUUCCUCUUGGAAGAAAGAAAGAAAGCAAGCAUCGGUGUCCACCUGAUACCACUGAAUGGGAACAUCCACGCUGUACACAUUUGCAGUCCACUUCUUUAUUUGUAAGUCCUGCAAUGCCCGACUCUUAAGUUUAAACACACCUCAUUUUAAAUGCAGACAGCACUGCCUUCAGUUCUCCUCCUUUCAUGUUGUGCACAGAGUAACAGUACAUUUAUGCUGCACUGUAUGCGUGAGUGAUGCGUGUGUGAGACCCAGCUGACGUGAGGAUGAGGAGCAGGCUGCAGGUGUUCCCUCUCAUGGCACUCAGUGUGUGUUCAUUCAUUCAUACAUUCAUUCUGCUCAGAUAUUC